rnacentral:lncRNA from 1 species
AACAAACAAACAAACAAACACCUUACAUAUAUAUUGGUGUUGUGACUGUUCUAAAUUGCUAAAAUGGUUUAUGACCAAUGUAUAGUUUGUCAAACCCAUAAUCUUGAGAAGACAACCAAAACUUCAGGUACCUUUCUGCUACAUCUGAACACUUUACAGAGGGAUUUCAUUCAAUUGUGAUUUUCAGUGCAUAUUUUCUGGUUGUACAGGAGCUUUCUCAUACAAGUGGGCUGAUGCUAUAACAGCAGCUAAAAGGUUAUUAGGAAAUGUGUUUCUCUCAUAGAACAUUGCUGAAGAAAUCUCCAGUGAUAGAGAUACUUGCCUCACUGGACUGGCUGUAAAACAGUUAAAUAAGGUAUUACAGAUAUAAGAGCAUUAGGCAAAACUAACUGAAUAAUCUGGAUUGCCUUGGUCAAAGAUGUUUCAGAUUGAUGACAAACAGAUCCACUUCCAUGGGAAAACAAAAGUUGAACCCUUAUGAAAUAGUCACUGGAAGGCUUAUGCUCCUAAUAACAGAACCUUCUGUAUCUUAUGCUCCUAAACCUUAACGUGACUAAAUGCUGCAAGGCUGUAAUGUAUUAUGCCAAAGUGUAUUUUCACCAGGUAAAGAAAGCUUUUCAUGGACCACUGACUCAGGACAAGCAAACCCUUCAUGAUAUAGAAUUCAGAGGCUGGAUCUUUUGGAAACACAUCAGAGAAAGACUCCCCUUGUCACCCACACUGCAGCGAAACUUCAGGACCCUGAAGCUUGGGUUUGUAAUCUCACAACUUAGAAAGGCCCACCCAGACUCUUGGAACCACACACCCAUCAGAGGGAGAACUUAAGGUAAAGCUAAUGAGGUCUAAUCAAUGGUGCUCUAACUACAGAACAGCGAAUCUUAACCUGGGGACCAUGGGUCAUGAAUGGACUGCAGAAAUUCUGUGACCUCCUGGUGGAGGUUCCAGUUUACUAAAUGGAAACAUUUCUUCUGAGAGGAUCUGUUCCCUGGAUCUACUUAAAAAGCUCAGGGUUAAAUGAGAAGGACCUAACCCUUCUCAUAUAGCCCACCAAGGCUUGUAUCAAGAACAUUAGAUUACUUCCAUGAUUGCUUUUAAUUCUGACAGUCCAUGAAAUGGUCAUAAGGUAUGGGUUGAUAAGGACAUGGUUCUCUAGUAUUACAGUUCACCCUAAUAUGUUUUAAAUUCUCAUUUCUAAGGUUA